UACGUAGGGUGCGAGCGUUAAUCGGAAUUACUGGGCGUAAAGCGUGCGCAGGCGGUUCGUUAUGUCCGAUGUGAAAGCCCCGAGCUUAACUUGGGAAUGGCAUUGGAAACUGGCGGGCUAGAGUAUGGCAGAGGGGGGUAGAAUUCCACGUGUAGCAGUGAAAUGCGUAGAGAUGUGGAGGAAUACCGAUGGCGAAGGCAGCCCCCUGGGCCAAUACUGACGCUCAUGCACGAAAGCGUGGGGAGCAAACAGG
rnacentral:rRNA from 1 species